ensembl:lncRNA
AAAACCUUUAAUAUUGAACAACACAGCUGAAGCUUUUAUCACGGUACGAAAUUUAUAGCCUAAUAAUUCAAACCUGUGUGCUCGCAACAAGAUGUCUCUGCCCCUAUCUGGGUAUCGAAGGGAUGGUUUUACUUUCUGAGGUGCGGAGCAUCCCCGCAGGUCCUGGCAGCCUCUGGGGACUGCAGUGAAAGAACCAGACGACAGAGAAAGCCCUGCCUGGAAGAAUGAAAAACCAAAACCCAGAGCAGAACGUGUGGGUUCGAAGAGCAUUAGUGUGAGUCCUUCCAAGGUGGCAAUCUCUGAGCCCAUGCGUGAGCAUCUUCAUCAUUUGGGAAGGCGAUGGGACUACCCGUGUCUCAGCUGCUGCACAAUAAGGUAUCGGCUGGGAGGCUGGAGGUGAUCCGAACAUCCUGGGGGGGGAAGGGGGGGACAGGUG